rnacentral:lncRNA from 1 species
CUUGGACUCUAUUUUUACAUCACAUAGUUCAGCUCAGGCAUAUCUUUGGAUUUUGGCAUUCUCUUAUGCAGCUUUGUAUCAUUGUAGAUACGUAAUUACAGAAAUAAGCAAUUCUCAUAACCAUGCUUACUCAGACAAUGUCAUUUGAAACUGCCAGUAGCUAGAGGUCUCAGAGCCAAAGUUAAUUCAUUUUGUUUCCAUUUUUGACAGUUUUUUUUCCAGUGUUCACAAAACAUAAAAUUUCUAGCUUCACCCCAAAAUGUCAUGC